ensembl:miRNA Mir200c microRNA 200c
GGUUGGGUAGGGGCCCUCGUCUUACCCAGCAGUGUUUGGGUGCUGGUUGGGAGUCUCUAAUACUGCCGGGUAAUGAUGGAGGCCCCUGUC